AGGUCCAAAGAUUAUCAAGAGCUUUGUAACUUCUUCAUUGGUUUCUUGUGUUUUCCUGUUUUUGAAUUCCAGUAAAGCUGACCCCUGGAUGGUCACGAAAUCAACCGAACAACUAAAACCACAGUACUCAACAGGAAAAUUUGCACUUCUCUUAAAGCAAUAGCAAGCAUAAUUGGGUGGAACAAAGGAAGGUUAUGGGUGACUCACUAUAGGUUGGACUUUGAAAGAAUUCUUGCCAGUCUGGUCACUUUGGUUAAGCCUGCUUCUACUGCCAAGUGUUCAUACUGCCCACUAUUAGAAAGACAGUGGUUUUCAGCCUGUGCCCUAGAGGUCUAAGAAGGUGUCUCAGAGGCUAUCGUGAGGCCCAAGGGAGGCUAACUUGUCAAGCCAUCAGGGAAGCUUAUCAAGGAAUACACUACGGAAGGAAGUGAAGUCAAGUCAAGUCGCUCAGUCAGGUCCGACUCUUUGCGACCCCAUGGACUGUAGCCUACCAGGCUCCUCCCAUGGGAUUUUCCAGGCAAGAAUACUGGAAUGGGUUGCCAUUUCCUUCUCCAGAGGAUUUUCCCCACCUGGGGAUCAAAUCCGGGUCUUUGUUCAGUUGAGGUCCUGGUAACUCCUGACAUGAAGUGUAAUCAAUUGGAGAGUUGAGAUAUGUUCCAUUUGUACAAUGAACAGCCCUAACGUCAGACACAUCGGAGGCCUCCACAUAAGAUCCAUCUGACUAGAGGGACAUAUCCUGGGAAAGACUGGCAGAUUGAUUGGGCAACUUCAGGUAUCUUCUGGUUCUAGUGGAUACAUUUUCAGGGGCUUCCUAUAGUUUCACUUGCCUACAGGGUGCCACGUGCAGAAGCCUUGCCGCCAGCGCUUCAGGCCAGCUGCUGCUGCUGCUAAGUCACUGCAGUCGUAUCUGACUCUGUGUGACCCCAUAGACGGCAGCCCACCAGGCUCCCCCGUCCCUGGGAUUCUCCAGGCAAGAACACUGGAGUGGGU